rnacentral:lncRNA from 10 species
CUCUCCUAACUUUCCUUCCCUCUACUUUAGGUCUGUCUUUACAUAGUCUGCUAUUUUCAAGAAGAGUUUGACCUGCCCUAGGUUCUCAUGUGCUUGAAUUUCCCCCUGUCUAUUGAGGGCCUUGUCCCAUUCCAUCUUCCCUUCUAGAUAUCUCUCAUCUAGAUAAUCUCAAGAUCUAUCCAUUGAUUCUUUUUUAAUCAGUGUACUGAGAGGAAGAAAGAGGGCAAGGAAAUACAUACUUAUGAAGUAUCUUACCGGGUACUAGAUACUUUACAUGUUUUCCUCAAGCAUUUACUGAGGAAUGCCAGGGCCUUGAAUACAGAUCAAAGUACCUGGCUCUGCUGGGCGCAGAGGCUCAUGCCUGUAAUCCCAGCACUUUGGGAG